CCUCUGGGAUGAUUGACAGAUUGCUCUUAGCCAAUGAGCUGCUACAAAGUGGCGCAUUGACCCGCCUACUCCUUCCGUCUCCGGUAGUGAAGCUCUUUCUGCCUGUGAUGUGAGCGCUACACAAGCUAGCAAAACCGUGACGGAGAACUACAGAAACGGGUACAAAACCGGUACGGACUGAAGAGUUGACGACGGUCAAGGCUUUGAAGCGGCGCCAUUACGUGCUCCUACGUUGUCCUCGUGAGAUCGUUUUUUUAUUAUGUACAGUGGACCUGUUGUUGAUGGCGAGCCAAACCUCUG
ensembl:lncRNA